ensembl:misc_RNA Metazoa_SRP Metazoan signal recognition particle RNA
GCUACAGGUGAUGCCCACCUGUAGUCGCAACUACUCAGGAAGCUGAGGCAGGAGGAUUGCUUGAGCCCAGGAAUUCUGGGCUGUAGUGGGCUAUGCCCACCGGCUUAUGCACUAAAUUUGGCAUCAAUGUGCUAACCUCCUGGGAGUGGGGACCACCAGGUGGCCUAAGGAGAGCUGAACUGUCCAGGUCAGAGCUGGAGCAGGUCAAAACUCCCAUGCUGAUUAGUAGUAGGACUGCACCUGUGAAUAGCCAUUCUACUCCAGCCUGGGCAAUAUAGCAAGACCCCAUCUUUA